rnacentral:rRNA from 1 species
UACGAGGGGUGCAAGCGUUAUUCGGAAUGAUUGGGCGUAAAGGGUACGUAGGCGGUGUGCUAAGUCUGUUGUUAAAUACCUCGGCCUAACCGAGGGCAUGCAUCAGAUACUGGUAUGCUAGAGGAUGGAAGAGAGAAGUGGAAUUCUUGGAGUAGCGGUAAAAUGCUUAGAUCUCAAGAGGAACACCAAUGGCGAAGGCAGCUUCUUGGUCCAUUCCUGACGCUGAGGUACGAAAGCGUGGGGAGCAAACAGG